rnacentral:rRNA from 1 species
UACGGAGGGUGCAAGCGUUAAUCGGAAUUACUGGGCGUAAAGCGCGCGUAGGCGGUUAGUUAAGUUAGAUGUGAAAGCCCCGGGCUCAACCUGGGAACUGCAUUUAAAACUGGCUAACUAGAGUAUGGUAGAGGAGAGUGGAAUUUCAGGUGUAGCGGUGAAAUGCGUAGAUAUCUGAAGGAACACCAGUGGCGAAGGCGGCUCUCUGGACCAAUACUGACGCUGAGGUGCGAAAGCGUGGGUAGCAAACGGG